UGGAUGAUUAGCUCAGUUUGGUUAGAGUGCUGUCCUGAUAAGACAGAGGUCGCUGGUUCAAAUCUAGCAUUAUCCAA
rnacentral:tRNA from 1 species